rnacentral:rRNA from 1 species
GACGAACGCUGGCGGCGUGCUUAACACAUGCAAGUCGAACGGAAAGGCCCCUUCGGGGGUACUCGAGUGGCGAACGGGUGAGUAACACGUGAGUAACCUGCCCUUGACUUCGGGAUAACUUCAGGAAACUGGGGCUAAUACCGGAUAGGAAUCCUUGCUGCAUGGUGGGGGUUGGAAAGCUUCGGCGGUUUUGGAUGGACUCGCGGCUUAUCAGCUUGUUGGUGGGGUAGUGGCUUACCAAGGCUUUGACGGGUAGCCGGCCUGAGAGGGCGACCGGCCACAUUGGGACUGAGAUACGGCCCAGACUCCUACGGGAGGCAGCAGUGGGGAAUAUUGCACAAUGGGCGGAAGCCUGAUGCAGCAACGCCGCGUGCGGGAUGACGGCCUUCGGGUUGUAAACCGCUUUCAGCAGGGGCGAAGCUUGUGGUGACGGUACCUGCAGAAGAAGCACCGGCUAACUACGUGC